AGAUGGCAUCCUACCGAGCAUGCCCUCUCCGCCUCAACAGAUCGCAUCGCCGCCCAGGGAAACGAUGAGCCGCGAGGCCAGCGGCGCGUCGGUGAGCUCUGCCCCGGUGCCCGAGCCAGAGCGGCAGCAGGGGCAGGGGAACCAAGGGGAGGAGGCGGGGUGGACGCCGCUGGAGAAGGUGGCGGAUAAAGUGGAGGAGCUGUACAGUCUCCGUGACACCUUCUUCCCCCGAGACCCCUCCGAGAAGUCUGCGUCCCUCCGCGCCUGCGCCGACGCCGCCCUGGGAGUCCUCGAUUCCCUGCCUCCCGGUUAUUCUUCGACGGGUACUGCAGGUUCUGUGACUGAUGCUUCCCGCACUGAGCAACCACCCACUACACAGUCAGAGCAAAGAAAAUCCCCAGAAGAGCGUGUUAUUUAUGAAUUUUUGAUGGGGAAAAUACUCGAUGUCUUCCCAGAUUAUUGUAAGGAGGCUGAAGAGCAUUUAUCCAAAGCAGUAAAGCUGAAUCCAUCUCUUGUGGAUGCAUGGCUAUGUUUGGGUAACUGCAUCUGGAAGAAGGGGAAUUUGGCAUCAGCAAGGAACUGUUUCUUAUUAGCACUAAGUAAGGGCACAGAUAAGAAAAUACUAUGUCAACUCUCAAUGCUUGAAAGGAGUAUGGCUCAAUCUAGUGAAGACCAAGCGUUGUUAGUGGAAGAGAGCAUUAAUCAUGCAAAAGAAGCUGUAAUGCUGGACAUAAAAGAUGGAAAUUCCUGGUAUAAUCUGGGUAAUGCAUACCUCACAAGCUUCUUUGCGAGCGGAGCCUGGGACAAAGCUAGGCUUCAUCAUUCGAUCAAAGCAUAUCAAAACGCUGAGAAGGAUGAAACUAUGAAACUAAAUCCAGACCUCUACUAUAAUUGUGCCACAGCUUACAAAUACUUAGAGAACUAUGAAAGUGCCAUUCGCGGAUUUGAAGCUGCUGCAUUAAAAGAUCCUGCUCUCAGGGCUGACAUAGAAGUUCAGAAGAUCAUCAAUCUCCUUGAUAAGUUAGAGAAUGCAAUGAAGGUACCUUCUGUAACUAUAGGACGACUACGACCCAAGAGAUCAGCAUCAUUGGUGUCAUCUCUGAAUGAAGUCAAUUUCAAGUUAUUCCACAAGAAAGCAACCAUAAGCAUCCUAUCAGGAGGUUUGAACAAGACAGUUGCUGUUGUGUGUAAAGUGGUUCUUUGGAUAAGACAUGACGAUGAUGCUCCACUGUCUCCCGAAGAAGAUGGUGUCCUUAUACGGUGAUCCUCCACCUCAUAAGUGAGAUUAACUACAGCUAAGAACUUCUGCUUAAUAGUAAAGAUGAGGAGCAGGAUUUGCACUAGUAUAAAUCAAUACUGUCGAUGCACUGCGACUCACUGUGCUGCAUCAUGCUAUUUGGUCGCCACAAUAAUCCACAUGGUCCCAAGGCCAUCCCCACGGUAUUAUUUAACAUGUGACUUGGAUCAGUCUUAUUUCAUACUAUCAGUUUACGGGCUACAGAAUGAAGCACGCUAUAAGUUCAAGUCAAUUCGUGUGGACUUCCCAGAACAAAUUAUUAUCAACGAGAAAGCUCCAGCUGCUCAUCAUGUUGCCCGGGCUUCAAUUCGGGCUCAGCAUAAACCAUAACUGUUGGCAAAACUGUCACGCCUGCAGAUGAACCUGCAGCGGACUGAAGAGUGCAAGUGCAGAACCUGAACUUGCAACGACCAGUUAGCGGGGAGGCUGGGCUGGGACCCACCUGCCAGGGGUGUGCGUGUGUGCUACGCCAGCUGUAGCCUACUUGUAACCGUGUGAGUGGACAGAUGAUGGCAAUGAGAAAAUAGAUGAACUACUUUCCCCUUCCUCA